AAAUGAAUUGACGGGGGCCCGCACAAGCGGUGGAGCAUGUGGUUUAAUUCGACGCAACGCGCAGAACCUUACCAGCCCUUGACAUGUCCGGGACCGGCACCAGAGAUGGAGCCUUCUCUUCGGAGUCCGGAACACAGGUGCUGCAUGGCUGUCGUCAGCUCGUGUCGUGAGAUGUUGGGUUAAGUCCCGCAACGAGCGCAACCCCCGUCCUUAGUUGCUACCAUUUAGUUGAGCACUCUAAGGAGACUGCCGGUGAUAAGCCGCGAGGAAGGUGGGGAUGACGUCAAGUCCUCAUGGCCCUUACGGGCUGGGCUACACACGUGCUACAAUGGCGGUGACAAUGGGACGCUAAGGGGCAACCCUUCGCAAAUCUCAAAAAGCCGUCUCAGUUCGGAUUGGGCUCUGCAACUCGAGCCCAUGAAGUUGGAAUCGCUAGUAAUCGUGGAUCAGCAUGCCACGGUGAAUACGUUCCCGGGCCUUGUACACACCGCCCGU
rnacentral:rRNA from 1 species